AAAAGUCGUAACAAGGUUUCCGUAGGUGAACCUGCGGAAGGAUCAUUAGUGAAUAUAGGACGUCCAACUUAACUUGGAGUCCGACCUCUCACUUUCUAACCCUGUGCAUUUGUUUGGGAUAGUAACUCUCGCAAGAGGGCGAACUCCUAUUCACUUAUAAAACGCAAAGUCUAUGAAUGUAUUAAAUUUUAUAACAAAAUAAAACUUUCAACAACGGAUCUCUUGGCUCUC
rnacentral:misc_RNA from 1 species